UACAGGGGAGGGACAGCUGUUGUGAAUUACUGGGCGUAAAGGGCGCGUAGGCGGCCUGUUAAGUCGAACGUGAAAUCCCCGGGCUCAACCCGGGAACUGCGUCCGAUACUGGCAGGCUUGAAUCGGGAGAGGGAUGCGGAAUUCCAGGUGUAGCGGUGAAAUGCGUAGAUAUCUGGAGGAACACCGGUGGCGAAGGCGGU
rnacentral:rRNA from 1 species